AACGAGGCCGACCUGCGGCUGAGUUACCUGCGGAGGGAUCAUUACCGAGUGAGGACCUUCCGGGUCCAACCUCCCACCCGUGUUUAACGAACCUUGUUGCUUCGGCGGGCCCGCCUCACGGCCGCCGGGGGGGACUCCGCCCCCGGGCCCGCGCCCGCCGAAGACACCUGUGAACGCUGUCUGAAGUUGCAGUCUGAGACACUAGCUCAAUCAGUUAAAACUUUCAGCAAUGGAUCUCAG
rnacentral:misc_RNA from 1 species